CUUUGGAUAAUAUAAAUAUUCCAAUGAUUUAAUGGAGUUAUCUGAAGCCAUGUAGACAUUAAUUAGAGUUCUAUAAUUAGAAUUAUAGUUAUAGAAGCUUCCUACUGCAAAAUAGAAGGCAAUAUGUUAAUAUUUCAGGUUUACAGUACCUGAUGCAUUUUCAUAUACCAUGGCUCUAAUAAUUCUUUCUAAAUAACCACUGUGAUAGAUAUUUAAUAGUUCUUUAAUUAAUGUUGGAGUAAAACCCAUUUAUAUCUGUGCUUAUCCCAGGCCUCCUUCUCUCACAAGUGAACAGUCUGUCUGCUUCCUGUGUGCAGAGCCACCCAAACUGAGGAUGACACAGAAUCCAAUCAGAAAAGCAGCAUAAAGAUGAAAGGUCUUACCAAUGAGAAGUGAACUUGCUAAAGUACACCUUUCAAUGAAUUUGGACAAAACUGAAAAAUGUUGUUGAUAUCAGAUCCUUAGGCUGAUUACUGAAGCGUUCGAUUUUUCAGUAUGUCAAUUCAUCACUGUCCACCUGGUUAUAUUUAACACUUUCUCCUGUUUUCCAGCAUGUCUGCUGAGAUAGGCAAUCGCUGUCACAUGAUAUCUGCCUCUCAGGAAGGUGUGAUCUGCUGUUCAGCACGUGCCAUAGCAGUGGUUGCAACAAGAUCUACCAAUGGACGCUGAAAUCAGCACUGAAGGCUGACUGGAUUGGCUCUGCUUCGUCCUGUGAAUCUGGGUCUGGCCUGACUUGGACCAAGGGGCUCACUGGGACAGUGUUUUCUCCAGAUGAUGGCAGGAGUACAAGAAGGCAAGCCCCACCGCACAAGCACAUUUUAAGCUUUAGCCUAUGUCUCCUUUUGGUUAGAGAUGUUUAUUUGGCCUGCCCAAAGUUGAGGGGUAGGGAAGCACACUCUUCCCAUGGAGGUUGGGGGGAUAAAGUGCAUAUUUCUGAUGAAAAAUCUAAUCAAUCAUAAGGACCUUAAGUAACUAGUCAGAUUGUAAUAUCUUUGAGGUCUGAGCCCAUGCCCGGUACAGCGUCUAUAUCCUCCCUGACAAGAAAUAUGAAUUUAAGCACACAGUAGGAAAUAAAAAAAUUCAUGAUAAGUUUCAAAAUUUAAAUCAGAAAAUAAGUCCUUUGUGCUUUUCCUAAAUUAAACAACAAAAGCUUAGAGAGAAAAUAAAAAAGAGCAGGAAGAACUCACAUCAAUGUGGAUUAUAAAAAAAUUUUUUUUGAAGAAUGAGUAGCUUUAAAUUAGAAAGAAAAUUAGUAUUUUGUUGAGGAAGAAGGCAUUAUUCACAAAGAAAAAGUUAUUCUAGAUUUAUUUUUGGCAGAUGAUGAAAUAACAGUAACAAUUCCAAACUCUUAUCUAAAUGUAGUAAUAGCUGCUAUUUCCCCAGUAUUUUAUAGAUGAGUGAAGGCAUACAUGAUUUGUCUUCUUCCGUUUUAUAGAAGGAUAAGAAAUUGAGGGUUAGAGCAUGUGUAUGCUUUGCCCAGCGUCACCAGCUGCUAAAUGACAGAGCAGGCAUAAGUUGUCUUCUGGCUUCAAGUCCAGGGUUCUUCUUACCACCUGCAUUACAAAUUUCUACCUGGUGAGAACGAAUCCUUUCCUUCACUUCCUGGGGCUUUUGUAAAAGAUCUAUCACUCUGAAGAUGAAUUGAACUAUCAGGUAAACAUUUAAGGAAAGGAGAAGAACCAAGUUGGAAUGUAAGUGAAUUCUGGUGUUGGUGGCUGCCUGGCAUUAUAACUGAUGACAUAAUUAUUUCCUGGGACAUGGAGCACCAAUCACAGAGUAGAUGUAAUAGACAGAGGUUCUUAGGUAUUUACAAGUAUGGAUAAAGUGACUGCCCUUCAUUAAUAAAGGCAGCUGCUGGAGUCUGCAUUCCACUGUUAGUUGGGAUGGUAUUCGGGUAGUAAGUUUCUAGACCAGUCAACAUUUAGGUUCCCCGUUAACCCCUGUGACCUGCCUUUUCAGCCUGUGCGCCUCCAGCUCUAAGAUCCAGUUCAAAAGGCACCUUUUUCAGGAAGUGACCCUGUUCUCCUGGUGGGAAGCGGGCACCCCUGUUUCUAAACCCCCAAGCACUUUUUCUUUGCCUACACUUCCCUUUAGCAACCAUCGUGUAGUCAUGUACCACCUUUUAAGAUUAAUUGUUUGUUUCUCCUUUAUGACUGCGAAAUCUUACAAGAAAGUUGAUCAGAUCCUAACAUAGAGCCCAGCACAUGGCGAUUCUCCCUGUAAACAGGACUUGGGAAGAUGACCAGAUGAAUAGGUCUAGUCUUUCCUAGCCUGCUAGUUGGAGAGGUUUUUGAUGCAUCUUUGAAUCCACCACAGCUCUGUACUUAGUGCCUUACAUACAGCAGAUGCUUGGUAUGUUUUUGUUGAAAGGAAAACAUUUGUGUAAAUGAACAAAGGAAAAAAUAAUAGAUGAAUAAAAAAGUGAUUGAGUAAAUCUCUGGAUACUGAGGUGGAAGAUCAAGAGGAACACACAUCAAGUCAAAUAUCAGAGUCCCUUAAAAAAGAUGAAUAAUAUUUGAAACAAAUGUGUGAUGCUCUAGAUGUCAGAAGAAAUCUCUUGAAAUUUCUGAUCUUAUUCAAAGUAUAGGAACAAGAAAUGUGAAUGCCACUCUCCCCCAGUGAUGGUAAUGCUAAGUGCAGUACACCAAUAUUCCACAGUCUGGGCUGUUUUUAGAGUAAAACAUACUGAAAUCUUCUAGCACCAUAACAUUUGUGUUAUUUAAAUAUGGCAUUUAAAAAUGAGUUUUGCACAUGGUGUUAAGGCUUCAUCCAGGCU